UACGAGGGGGGCGAGCGUUGUUCGGAAUUACUGGGCGUAAAGGGCUCGUAGGCGGCCAACUAAGUCGGAUGUGAAAUCCCCAGGCUUAACCUGGGAACUGCAUCCGAUACUGGUCGGCUUGAAUCCGGGAGAGGGAUGCAGAAUUCCAGGUGUAGCGGUGAAAUGCGUAGAUAUCUGGAGGAAUACCGGUGGCGAAGGCGGCAUCCUGGACCGGCAUUGACGCUGAAAAGCGAAAGCUAGGGGAGCAAACGGG
rnacentral:rRNA from 1 species